ensembl:processed_transcript
AUGGCGGCGGUAAAGACCCUAAAUCCGAAGGCCGAGGUGGCCCGGGCCCAGGCAGCGCUGGCGGUGAACAUCAGCGCGGCUCGGGGCCUGCAGGAUGUUCUGAGGACCAACUUGGGGCCUAAGGGCACCAUGAAGAUGCUUGUAUCUGGUGCUGGAGACAUCAAACUUACUAAAGAUGGCAAUGUGCUGCUUCAUGAAAUGCAAAUUCAACACCCAACAGCCUCUUUGAUAGCAAAAGUGGCUACAGCCCAGGAUGACAUAACUGGCGAUGGCACUACAUCCAAUGUCCUCAUCAUCGGGGAGCUGCUCAAACAGGCGGACCUGUACAUUUCUGAAGGUCUUCACCCAAGAAUAAUAACUGAAGGUUUUGAAGCGGCAAAAGAAAAGGCCCUCCAAUUUCUGGAACAAGUCAAAGUAAGCAAAGAGAUGGACAGAGAAACACUCAUCGAUGUGGCCAGGACAUCUCUGCGGACUAAAGUUCAUGCUGAACUUGCAGAUGUCUUGACAGAGGCUGUAGUGGACUCCAUCUUGGCCAUUAGGAAAAAGGACGAGCCCAUUGACCUCUUCAUGGUUGAGAUCAUGGAGAUGAAGCAUAAAUCUGAGACAGAUACAAGCUUAAUCAGAGGGCUUGUUUUGGAUCAUGGAGCUCGGCAUCCUGAUAUGAAGAAGAGAGUGGAAAAUGCCUACAUCCUCACUUGCAACGUGUCCUUAGAGUAUGAGAAAACAGAAGUGAAUUCUGGGUUUUUUUACAAGAGUGCAGAAGAGAGAGAAAAACUAGUAAAGGCUGAAAGAAAAUUCAUUGAAGAUAGAGUUAAAAAAAUCAUAGAGCUGAAAAAGAAAGUCUGUGGUGACUCAGAUAAAGGAUUUGUCGUUAUUAAUCAAAAGGGGAUUGACCCCUUUUCCUUAGAUGCCCUUGCGAAAGAAGGGAUCGUAGCUCUGCGCAGAGCCAAGAGGAGAAACAUGGAGAGGCUGACACUUGCUUGUGGUGGGAUAGCUCUGAAUUCCUUUGAUGACCUGAAUCCUGACUGUUUGGGACAUGCAGGGCUUGUCUAUGAGUAUACACUGGGUGAGGAGAAGUUCACCUUUAUUGAGAAGUGUAACAAUCCCCGUUCUGUCACUUUACUGGUUAAAGGACCAAAUAAGCACACACUGACUCAAAUCAAGGAUGCAAUAAGAGAUGGGUUGAGGGCUGUCAAAAAUGCUAUUGAUGAUGGCUGUAUUUUAUGGAACUCAGGACCUUUGGAAGAGCAGUCGGUGCUCUUAAUUGCUGAGCCAUCUCCCCAGCCCCCUAGGAACUUUUUAAAAUUGGAAAUACUGUUUAUUUAUUCUGGCUUAACCCUCAAUUCCCAAUUCCCAGGUUCUUGCGCAAAACUCUGGUUUUGACCUUCAGGAAACAUUAGUUAAAGUUCAAGCUGAACAUUCAGAAUCCGGCCAGCUCGUAGGUGUGGAUCUGAGCACAGGUGAGCCGAUGGUGGCUGCAGAGAUGGGUGUGUGGGAUAACUACUGUGUGAAGAAGCAGCUGCUACACUCCUGUACUGUGAUCGCCACCAACAUUCUCCUGGUCGACGAGAUCAUGCGAGCUGGGAUGUCCUCUCUGAAGGGUUGA